rnacentral:rRNA from 1 species
UACAGAGGUCCCAAGCGUUGUUCGGAUUCACUGGGCGUAAAGGGUGCGUAGGCGGUCGGGUAAGUCUGAUGUGAAAUCUCACAGCUUAACUGUGAAACUGCAUUGGAUACUAUUCGGCUUGAGAGUUGGAGGGGGGACUGGAAUUCUUGGUGUAGCAGUGAAAUGCGUAGAUAUCAAGAGGAACACCAGUGGCGAAGGCGGCCCACUGGGCCGGUACUGACGCUGAGGCGCGAAGGCGUGGGGAGCGAACGGG